UCUCUCCUGGAAACGGGUGGUAAUGCCGGAUGCUCCAGUUGAUCGCAUGGUCUUCUGGGAAAGCUUUCGCGGUAUGGGAUGGGGUCGCGUCCUAUCAGCUUGACGGCGGGGUAACGGCCCACCGUGGCUUCGACGGGUAGCCGGCCUGAGAGGGCGACCGGCCACAUUGGGACUGAGAUACGGCCCAGACUCCUACGGGAGGCAGCAGUGGGGAAUAUUGCACAAUGGGCGCAAGCCUGAUGCAGCGACGCCGCGUGAGGGAUGGAGGCCUUCGGGUUGUAAACCUCUUUUAUCGGGGAGCAAGCGAGAGUGAGUUUACCCGUUGAAUAAGCACCGGCUAACUACGUGCCAGCAGCCGCGGUAAUACGUAGGGUGCAAGCGUUAUCCGGAAUUAUUGGGCGUAAAGGGCUCGUAGGCGGUUCGUCGCGUCCGGUGUGAAAGUCCAUCGCUUAACGGUGGAUCCGCGCCGGGUACGGGCGGGCUUGAGUGCGGUAGGGGAGACUGGAAUUCCCGGUGUAACGGUGGAAUGUGUAGAUAUCGGGAAGAACACCAC
rnacentral:rRNA from 1 species